GAGAUACUCGCGUAGCCCGUGACGCGCGUGCACAGUGCACACUGCACACGCAUACUCGGCUGGCACUCUUGGCGCACACGCUGCGCAUCUCCUCUCGCUCCGGUCCGCGUAGCCUCCGGGCCGACGGAUCGAAAGUUUAUCGCGAUGUUCUCGAUACGAAAAUCGUUUUCUGACGCCGUCACUGCCAUAACCGUUCGGUGCCAAAAUUACACAAAACCGAGAGUCGCCGUCGCCGGCGUGACAGUCAUCCUUCUUUCUGUCUUUCUCUCUCUCCCAGUCUCUCUCUCUCUCUCUCUCUCAAUCUCUUUCUCCAUUCCGAGUGUAAUCGAUCUCUCGAACCGCUUUGAAAGUGGGUGAUCCUACUUACGGAGUAAUAAAAACGUUUCGAGGACGGUUGUACGCUAGCUGUCGUAGAUGUGUAUUUACGCGAUGCAACAAGGACCGUCUGUCGAACGAGAAUUUCGGAGCCGGCGAGGAUUCCGCUCGGGCGAAUUAUAAACAUCGAUUCUUCGGUGUCCUCGGUGAUACAACUUAUUUCGGGAGCCAACGCUACGCUGUUAUUCGAAUCGAUUCGGAGAAUAUUUUCGCUUCUAAUGCUAGCUGGCACGAAAUUCGGAAUAACCUUCUGGACUGAUGUGAUAUUUUCGAAAGAAACGAGUACCUUUAAAUAACCCGGAUUUCUAUGAAACUUUGCAUAGAAGAGUUUGUGCAAAUAUUUGGCAUUUUUGUAGCGACCCAUAUUCCCGUCAAGAGGAUGGAAAAUCGAGAAAGGAAUAGCUGCUACGGAAUUUAAGAAAACUUGUAUAGAAGUAGGAACAGAGGUUUUUUUCUUUUUGAGGAACACUCAAGAUUUCGGAAAAUUCAAGAUGGCGCCACCGUAACUUAUUUCCUUCCGUCGUUUUUAAAAAUAAUUCCGUCAAUCCUUGACUAUUCGGUAAGAUCUAGGUUAUAUCUGUGGCUAUAAGGAGAAACGCCACAAAUCGCUCGAAAACCUCAAAUAAAUAAAGCAAUUCGAAAAUAAAGCAUUAAGUGAUCACAAAAGUAAAUACGUGUGACAUACGGCGUCACAGAUGUCAGGUUGUCAUCUUUUCUCAUGAAUUGUUAUCGAAUUAGAAACUGAUCGAUUAACUUUUUUUUAGCUCCUAAUUAACAGUAUGUAUUCGGUACAGGAUUAUCUAUGUCUAAGGGAUAGCAGCCCAUACGGGGUAUCAGUAAUAGGAAAUAGAGCGAUUCUUUUUGCUUACAUUCAUCGGUUAUGAGAAUUUUACGUAACAAGUAAAACAGCGCUGUCACGUUCAGAAACAUUUCCCCUGAUUUGCGUAGAACAAUUUACGACAGUUGGAGAUUUGCAUUCGGGUCCUUAAUCGAGUAAUUACCAUUGGCAAUCGAUAGGUAAUGAUUAAACUGCUAGUUGAGGCGUCGAUGUCACGCUUUCCUCGAGGCCUGGCGCAUAAACUAGAUACAUGUAAACGGAAAUUUCGCAACCGAAGGAGCCGUGUUGUGCCCCGGUAGCUGGAACAGGUUUCGCGGGCCCGGGCGAACGCGUGAAACGUAUAAAACGCGCGUGCACGCGCACGGUCACGCUCGUUUUGCCGGGCCUUAGAAUCAAACGACGAGGGUGGCGUGGCGCAUUUAGCCACCAUGAAGAGGAGUGACCUUCGGACCGCGACAAAAGGCUACGUCACCCGUACAAUUGCCGUCUAACGUGUCGCCCGAGCGAGCCCCGGCUCCAAAGAAACGCGAAGCGUUCGCUCGUUCGUGGAAACAGUGGAACUCCGUCCCGCAUUCCGCUUCGGAUCCCCAUCGGACGAGCCAUAAUUAAUCGGAUCAUCUUUGCGCACGGAAUUCAUCGUUCGUCGCAGCCGCGAGAUCUUGUUCGACCGUGCAGUGGCAUCCUGGGAUCUCUCAUUGUGACAACAAAACUCCAAAUUGCAUCUCUGAUCAUACCGCGGACCUUUAUGCAAAUCCUCGAUAACUAUUUGUAUAAAAAAUAGUGACAGGCAGGCGAAUCGUGAUUUCACGUUUCGACUGUUACAUAAAUCUGGAUACGGAUAAGACGCUGAGGUCGUGCCGUAAUAGACGGUCUCGAAUAACGGAGGUCUCCGCUCGACUUAGGCGUUCCCGAUGCACUUGCGAACUAUAAUUUGAGGACACUAAAGCAGCGCGCGAUCACGGCGUUGACCGAUCGUUAAGUUACGUUACGUCACGCACGCGAUCGUUUCCUGAAAUGGUACAGCAGGCUUAACCCGCAUCUCGGAUAACGUUCUUUCGACAGCGUGCCCGAUUCCUAUCGCUUUUCGCGACAUCGUGGAUCUCAUUGAAAUCCGCGUCCCCGGACAGUCGCAGGAUCGCGAAAAUCUGCGGCUCGGAAAGUAGAGUCUUGUCGUGCCCUUGACACGAGCAGAUCCUGCAGGACACGAUCCUUGACACGGCAUCCGUAAUUAGAAGCCCACGCGGUGGACUGUUGGCCGUCUCUAGUAUCUCUAGCCUUUGCUGGCUCUUCUUUCGAAAGACGUCUCAGCGGCGUGAGACCUUCGGAACCAGAAUGGCGGCCGCCAGCCUUCGACGCGUUGACACUAAUACGUGGAACAAAAAGAUCAAUAGAAAAGUCGAUCGGAGCCGGGCAUUCGAUCCUGUCGAAAACAUACGAUCUGCUACGCUAAACCGAUGCCCACGCUAAAGUUCGAUCCGCAGUUUAUGUAAUUGAUAACGGAGCCCAGCCGGCGACAGCGGAUGUAAUUAAUACUAGCCGCGUUCUCCUUGUUGAAUGCGCGAAAUCUCCCCGCGGACUGUCUCGCUCGAUGCGUUCCAUGAGAUACGGCACUGUGUACAAUGUACGGCAAACGGUGACCCAUCUUCCGCCGUUCCGUCUCUCCUCUCUUCUCUCGCCGUCGAGCUCUCACUCUAGUGUUUACUCUGGGAUACGCUGGAAACGGUGACUAGUACCCACUCGUGUGUCACUCGAAUUUAGUUGGUUCUUCUCGGCGGAGAACAAGGGUGGAGCUCUUUGCUACUGGUUACAACGAGGCACUAAAAAUAUGUUACUGCCUACGGUACAUCAAAAAUUUAUUGUUUAUGCUUCCGAGAAAGACGUCCGAAUGUUGUGUCCGCUUUAGCAGCGAUACCGAUCGCAUGCACAGAUGGUUUGCUCGACGCGUUGACUAACGCGUGACUCAGAGGCGAGCCCCGCGGUUGUUUGUCCAAAUUUACAGAUUCAAUUCUGCGCUGACGCGUUAAGUUUGCAAAAUCUAGCUAGGCGAAAUGCGAAAUGCAAACAGACAGAUAUAGCAACGGCUAUGACAGAUCUUUCUGUGUUCUAUAGAAAGAAGACGCGGAGGCUCGGCCUCUCAACCGUUUAACUUUCCGGAUGCGAAUUGUUGAGGGGUUCUGAUUGUAUCUUUCU